rnacentral:tRNA from 1 species
GGGGCUGUAGGGUAGCUUGGUCCAUCCUCCCAGCCCGGGGUGCUGGCGACCCGAGUUCAAAUCUCGGCAGCCCCA